GGAAAAAUACGGAUUGUAGAUACAAUUCAAAAGUAUCCUAGGAAGGGGAAAUGACCCUCACAUGGGGCCCUUUGAGCCUUGGAAGUCCUAGGCAGCUCUUAUCAAACAUAUUAACAUAUACCCACAACAGUCCCAAUUUGGAGGCAAAAACAUUUGAAAGGCUCUUUCUAAUUUGGCUUUCAAAAUUAUUUCCGACGGGUAACUUCUUUGAUUCACACUCGUUACAACUUCUCAGCAAUCGUUGGGUACAGAAGGAGAAAUUUUAGGUCGGAAAAUCCAAUCCGCACGUUGUUUUUCAUUGUAAUGAGAUCCUUAUGAGUAUUAACUUUCAUAAUUGAUGAAGUUGACAGAUGCUGUAAUUUGCAGCGAUGCCAGUCAACAUUUUAAGAUUCUGAUUUCACAACUUCCAGAGUUUGGAAGCAUAACAUUUCUUUCUUUCUUUCUUCCUCUUUUUCCCCGGGUCGCAGGUAUUUUAAUUGGUUCUGCAAAUGUUCUCGCUGCGAGCCCAGGUGCUAAGGCCCGUAGUGCCUAAUGGGCAGAGCCACCCUGCUCGCUCCAGGCCCCGGGGGCAAGUGCGAUCCAGCUUUAUGCUGAACAGGGCAAGCUUAUUUUCUCUGUUGAAACCAAGUAUUUCUGUGGAGGAUUAGUUGGAUACAGCCUUCCUCGGGGAACCAGCUGUUUUUGUCCCCCUGGUGCCAGAUGUCACCUAUCACACCCCUGGGGACUGGCUGAAAGAUCUUAUCUUUGAACGAAGAGCAGGCAAAGCAUUUAAAGGACCAACGUGUUCUGUUCUGCAGCCCUGGAACUCACAAUUCAUGAAUAAGACUUCUUGACUACACCUAGAGAGCAACUCGCCAAAAACAAUGAAUGGUGUUUCACAAUCUGAGUAGGUGUACUUCAUCUAGCUAACGUGUAAACAAAGGAGCGGUAGUCCCAGGGAGGAGAAGAUCAACGUUGCACUUCCACCUUGUCCUCUGGUUACCAUCGGGGGGAUUGCGUAGCAGGAGGCCAGCUUGACUUUAGGGAGCAGAACCACCCAGGCCCAACCAGACGAAGGAAAACAGAAAUCUUGGAAGAAGAAAAAUAAUAUUGGAAGCCUCUGUGUUGAUGACAUCCAGUUCCCAAGAUCCCCUCCAUGAUCUCUGUGACAGUCCUGGUGUCUGGGCUCCGGCUGUCCCUUGCUGCUUCCGGAGCUGCUAACCCGAAAGGGGCCAACCUGGUGCUGGCUUUUCACCUGGGCCUUAGAGUAUCCCAGGACUUACGGAGCCCCCUGUGAAGACAGCUCCUUCGGCUUCUCCUGCAUCCCUUCUCUCUGGAAGACUUCAGACUGGACUCCCACCGGAUCAGCCCGGUCCAUGCGGGGACUGGUGUCUGAGACAGACACGAUUCUCUUCUCUGCCUUUCCUUACCCCUUCUUCUCCUCCAGCCCUCCCUCCGCUCAUGUCAAUACAUCAGAGUGAACCCCAAUAAUCUGCAUUCUAAUGAGUACCCACAGAGGCCAGAUAUGACCUGCUGAGAAGCAACACAGCGUGCAUGAAAAGGCUGCAUAGCCUGGUGGCUAAAGAUGAGUCAGUCAUAUCUAGAUCUGAAUACAGGCUCUACCACUUACUAUGUCCUCUCAGCAAGUGACUUAAUCUCCAUGACCCGGUCUCCUCGAUUAUCAAAUGGAGCUAAUAAUAGGACUUAGCUCAUAGGGUUGUGGUUAGAAUUCCACGAGAUCAUUCAUUUAUGUAUUCCUUACAUAAAUACUUUAUUGAGGGCCUAUAUUGUUCCAAGCACUAUUCUAGGUACUAAGGAAACAGCAGAGAAAACAAAAAAAUACAAAACAAACCCAGACUUCUGUCCUCGUGGAGCUUAAAUUCUGGUUGGGGAAAUAAACAGUA